GCGGUGGAGCAUGUGGUUUAAUUCGAAGCAACGCGAAGAACCUUACCAGGUCUUGACAUCCUCUGACAACCCUAGAGAUAGGGCUUUCCCCUUCGGGGGACAGAGUGACAGGUGGUGCAUGGUUGUCGUCAGCUCGUGUCGUGAGAUGUUGGGUUAAGUCCCGCAACGAGCGCAACCCUUGAUCUUAGUUGCCAGCAUUCAGUUGGGCACUCUAAGGUGACUGCCGGUGACAAACCGGAGGAAGGUGGGGAUGACGUCAAAUCAUCAUGCCCCUUAUGACCUGGGCUACACACGUGCUACAAUGGAUGGUACAAAGGGCUGCAAACCUGCGAAGGUAAGCGAAUCCCAUAAAGCCAUUCUCAGUUCGGAUUGCAGGCUGCAACUCGCCUGCAUGAAGCCGGAAUCGCUAGUAAUCGCGGAUCAGCAUGCCGCGGUGAAUACGUUCCCGGGCCUUGUACACACCGCCCGUCACACCACGAGAGUUUGUAACACCCGAAGUCGGUGAGGUAACCUUCAUGGAGCCAGCCGCCUAAGGUGGGACAGAGAUUGGGGGAAGU
rnacentral:rRNA from 1 species